GGAUGGGCGCAUGCGCGUUCCCAGCAGCCUUUGCGCCUCCCGCGCCUCUGAGCAGACGGGUGGAGGAGAGGCAAGUGGUUGUUAGGGAGAGUUCUGCCGCGUCCUCUUCAGCGCUGCUGGAGAAGCAGCGUCUCGGCCCCUGUGCAGGGAAGCGCCCUGCGUACCACUACGCUAAUAAGUCGGCGCCGCGAGGGCAAAAGGCUGCUAUUCUUGCCGUCUGGUCCUUCCCCUUUAACCGCGAAGGAAUCACGCGAGAGGCUACUCAACGCACACCAUAGAUUUGAAGGCAAGGACCUCCACUGUGGUAAUCUUGGAACCAAACCUGUACUACCUCUGAGGUCAUCUCAAUUCAGACUCCCCACAUGCAAGUGCUCAAUAGCCACAUGGUGAGUAGCUACAGUAGAGGACAGUACAGGUCUAUACUCUGUUGACUUCCUCUUCUAUUCACUGUU